rnacentral:tRNA from 1 species
UGGCUUAUAGUUCAAUGGAAGAAUACUGUGCUACGAACGCAGAGAUGGAAGUUCGAAUCUUUCUGAGCCGGCAA